ACAGCAGUCGCCACGGGAAUACAGAGGGUGCGAGCGUUAAUCGGAUUUACUGGGCGUAAAGCGUGCGUAGGCGGCUUUUUAAGUCGGAUGUGAAAUCCCUGAGCUUAACUUAGGAAUUGCAUUCGAUACUGGGAAGCUAGAGUAUGGGAGAGGAUGGUAGAAUUUCAGGUGUAGCGGUGAAAUGCGUAUAGAUCUGGAGGAAUACCGAUGGCGAAGGCAGCCAUCUGGCCUAAUACUGACGCUGAGGUACGAAAGCAUGGGGAGCAAACAGGAUUAGAUACCCCCGUAGUCCCUGUCUCUUAUAC
rnacentral:rRNA from 1 species